UUGUAAAACAUGAAAAUAGCAUAACAGCAUUUUCGCUGUCGGAAUAUGGAAAGCAAAAAGUUAAAAAACUGGAAACAAGUAUGACAAGUAUCAGCAUUACAAGUAUGACAAGUAUCAGCAUUGGAUAAAAGACCCAAAAGAAAUAAAAUCUGAGAAAAAGAAAAAGUGCAUUAGACAAACUUUUAGAUCCAAUAAAGGAAAAAGUAAAAAUCAGUUUGAAUGAAGAAAAAGUUCAGCUACUAACAUGAACUCCUGAUAGUUGGUCAAUUAAAAAAACUUGCGAUGCAUUUUCAGUUUCAGAACAUCUUGUUAAGAAAGCCAGAAAGCUAAAAAAUGAAAAGGGAAUACUUGCUAAACCUGAGGCUUAAAAAGGACAUCCUUUGGAGGAUAUUGUUAAGCUAAGAGUCAUUGAAAUAUAUGAAUCUGACGAAUACACUAGACAAUGUUCAGGAAAAAAAGACUUUGUUUCUGUGCAUAUAAAUAAUGUAAAAGUUCAUAAACAAAAUUGCUUAAUAUUAGUUCGUUUAAAAGAACUUCAUCUGGAAUUUAAGAAGUUAUACCCUGAACACAAAGUUGGAUUCAACAAGUUCUGUGAACUAAGGCCAAAGUGGUGCCUUACUGUUGAUAGUAAUGGAAGCCACUCAGUUUGUGGCUUAAUUAGAUUAUGUAUGCAGAUACAUCAGCAAAACUCGAAUUAUCAUUAAAGGAAUUAAAGGGGAUAGAAUUAUCACACCCAAAAUUUUACAAGAGAGUUACAGAUUAUUAUGAGUAGAGAAAAUUUGAGUUUGUCAUGCUUUACAGAAAAGACCUAAUUAUUAGAAACCAUAACACAAAUAACUUUAGUGAAGCAACUAUUAGAAUUCUAAAAGACAUUAUUUUAAGUAGAACUAAAGCAUUUAAUGUUGCAGCUUUUGUAGAUUACACUGUUAAUGUUUGGGAUAAUUAUUAUAGGAACCGUCUUCUCAAUUCAGCUUAUAACUGUUGCUCUUCAUAUGAAAUGUUUUACAACAAGUUAUGUCAAAAAUCUGACAAGAUAACUAUUGAAUCUAUUAAAUUGUUAGAGGUUAACAAUUUUAGUGUUCCAAGUUUUAAAAACUCUAAUGAUAAGUAUAUAGUAAAUAGUGAUGUUGGAUAUUGUUUAUGCAUUAGUGGUCGCCAGGGAGGAUUUUGUAAACACAUGGCUGCAAUACACAAACUGUUUAAAAUUAGUUUUCCCUGCGCCCCGCCAAUAACAUCUGAUGACAGAUAUGAACUUGGAAAACUUGCACUGGGACUAAAGUGCCCCAAGCCGUAAUUUUUUCUUUAUUUGAGAGAUAUCAAUGAAGGGGAAAAUGAAACAAUUUCAACUCCAAUAGUGCAUCGUGGGACCUAAAAAGGAAACAUUUCUACUUGAUGGUAAAGCUAAAAGUUAGUUAACUUGUAGUUUUCACUACUAGCUCAUUUAAAUAUUGGUUGUAGCAACGGACGUCUACUGCAUAUAUUGGCAACUAACAAGGAUUCAUAUAAAGUAACUGUAGAAGUAAUCAAUAAGUAUUUUAACAUCAAAGUUUGUACUAAUUAGAUUUUGCAACUAGUUAAAACAUCAAAAAACUUUGUAAACCAUUUUUCACGAGAUUCAAAACAAUUUAUUGACAUCUGCAACAUGCUCUGUGCAUACCAAAUAAUAACAUCUGCUAUGGCACAAACAUCGCAAUCAAUUGCAACCUAAAUUCACAUUGCUAUAUGUUCUUCAUUUCCCUUUCAACAAAUCAGUGUUUUAUCUGUAUCAAACAGUGGUCACUUAUCUCUUUUAUCUGGUCCUGCUAUAGAAACCUCUUCUCAUGAACCACUAUCUAGUUAAAGAGCUGACUAGUUAAGUCCCAGAAAAAGGUUAUGAGAAAGAGAUUUAAUUUUUUUGUUUGAAACAGCAGUUAACAUUAAUCGAAACCAAGUUUUCUUAUCAAAAAACAAUUUUAUACCAACAACUUGCUGAAAAAAAUUAUGCAAUUCUUGUACUGCAAAAUGACAUUGAUACUGAUUUUACAGGAAGAGUUGGAGGAAAUUCAGCAAGUAACACAAAACACCAAAACUCAAAAACACUACUCAGCAGAUAUUAGAACACUUAUAUACGACAUGCUUGUGUGUUAAGUUCCUGGUUUCAUUCGCUACACAAUUCAUUUUCUACACAAUUCUGCAAUACAAACUUCGCUACAAGGAUGCAAAAGUGAUCCAAAGGGUUUUGGGUUCUUUUUGGACCAACACGAGUUGCCCAGAAGAUUGCUACCAUGCUAUAGAGGGAACAGAAUACAUAUGCUUUUUCACACAUGUGGUACUUUGAUCUAUAAUUAUUCCAUAUUGAAGAUAUUUUUGUGUUCUGGCUUGACAUUAUGUGAAUGUCUGCAAAAUGGUUUGUUUCAAGACUUUACAUCUGAAACAGGAAAUCAUUCUCCUCUUCUCUAUUUUGUAAUGGGUUUUUCAGUUAUUGUGUUAAAUAUCUAAUGUAUUUUUAUUUAUCUGUUAUUGCAAAGUUUUAACUAAUAGCAUGCUAAAAGAUUGCAAUUUGCUACUGUCUUAAAGUCCUCAAGAUUAUAUUUAAUAAUUCAGUUACACAACAUGAUGAGUACUACACGCUUGCUUUGAUGUUUGUUGAUCUUCUUCAUUUCAAUAUUAAAUCGAUAUCAUUAUAUGUGGUUUCCAUCGCGUACUAAAGAUUUGACUCUUUCUAUGGAUGUCACAGUUUUAUUUACUUCAAAAACUAGGCUUUUUUCAAGGCCACAAUUCUGUUAAAAACAUUACUAAGCAAAUAAAAUAACUAUUACAGUGUAAAUUUAUUGUUAAAGAAGUAUGUUUAAAAAAAAAUAUUUGUAUUUUUUGCAGUUUGUUGGAAUUUAUAUAUUGUUAGAUAGAUAGAUAUGUAUAUGGGCCCACGGAAGGAAACAAAAAGGGGAGCCGUGGUGGG